CCUACGGGUGGCUGCAGUGGGAAUAUUGCACAAUGGGCGCAAGCCUGAUGCAGCCAUGCCGCGUGUGAAGAAGGCCUUCGGGUUGUAAAGCACUUUCAGCGGGGAGGAAGGCGUUAAGGUUAAUAACCUUGUCGAUUGACGUUACCCGCAGAAGAAGCACCGGCUAACUCCGUGCCAGCAGCCGCGGUAAUACGGAGGGUGCAAGCGUUAAUCGGAAUUACUGGGCGUAAAGCGCACGCAGGCGGUCUGUCAAGUCGGAUGUGAAAUCCCCGGGCUCAACCUGGGAACUGCAUUCGAAACUGGCAGGCUAGAGUCCUGUAGAGGGGGGUAGAAUUCCAGGUGUAGAGGUGAAAUGCGUAGAGAUCUGGAGGAAUACCGGUGGCGAAGGCGGCCCCCUGGACAAAUACUGACGCUCAGGUGCGAAAGCGUGGGGAGCAAACAGGAUUAGAUACCCGUGUAGUC
rnacentral:rRNA from 1 species